rnacentral:sRNA from 1 species
AUUAUGCCCAUGCGGGGAAGGAUGAGAAGCUUCGACCAAGGUUCGACUCGAGCGCCAGCGAGAGAGCGUUGCCGCAGGCAACGACCCGAAGGGCGAAGCGCGCAGCGCUGAGUAAUCCUUCCCCCACCACCA